rnacentral:rRNA from 1 species
CCAGACUCCUACGGGAGGCAGCAGUGGGGAAUAUUGCACAAUGGGGGAAACCCUGAUGCAGCGACGCCGCGUGAGUGAAGAAGUAUUUCGGUAUGUAAAGCUCUAUCAGCAGGGAAGAAAAACCGACCAUAGGGUCGCUAGACGGUACCUGAUUAAGAAGCCCCGGCUAACUACGUGCCAGCAGCCGCGGUAAUACGUAGGGGGCAAGCGUUAUCCGGAUUAACUGGGUGUAAAGGGAGCGUAGACGGCUGAGCAAGUCUGAAGUGAAAGGCGGGGGCCCAACCCCCGGACUGCUUUGGAAACUGUAUAGCUAGAGUGCAGGAGAGGUAAGUGGAAUUCCUAGUGUAGCGGUGAAAUGCGUAGAUAUUAGGAGGAACACCAGUGGCGAAGGCGGCUUACUGGACUGUAACUGACGUUGAGGCUCGAAAGCGUGGGGAGCAAACAGGAUUAGAUACCCGAGUA